CCUACGGGAGGCAGCAGUAGGGAAUAUUGGACAAUGGGCGCAAGCCUGAUCCAGCCAUCCCGCGUGAAGGAUUAAGGCCCUCUGGGUUGUAAACUUCUUUUCUCUGGGAAUAAAAACCGGUAUUCAUACUGGCUUGAAGGUACCAGAGGAAUAAGCACCGGCUAACUCCGUGCCAGCAGCCGCGGUAAUACGGAGGGUGCAAGCGUUAUCCGGAUUCACUGGGUUUAAAGGGUGCGUAGGUGGCUUUGUAAGUCAGUGGUGAAAUGCCGCAGCUCAACUGCGGAACUGCCAUUGAUACUGCUUAGCUUGAAUCACGUCGAGGUGGAUGGAAUAAUACAUGUAGCGGUGAAAUGCUUAGAUAUGUAUUAGAACACCGAUUGCGAAGGCAGUUCACUAGGCGUGUAUUGACACUGAGGCACGAAAGCGUGGGGAUCAAACAGGAUUAGAUACCCUGGUAGUCCACGCCCUAAACGAUGUAAACUCGACAUUAGCGAUAUACUGUUAGUGUCCAAGCGAAAGCGUUAAGUUUACCACCUGGAAGUACGACCGCAAGUUGAAACUCAAAUGAAAUUGACG
rnacentral:rRNA from 1 species